AGCAUGUUGGUUUAAUUCGAUGAUACGCGAGGAACCUUACCUGGGCUCAAAUGUAUGUUGACGUAUUCUGAAAGGGAUACUUCUUCGGACAAUAUACAAGGUGCUGCAUGGUUGUCGUCAGCUCGUGCCGUGAGGUGUCGGGUUAAGUCCCGUAACGAGCGCAACCCUUGUCCUUAGUUACCAGCACGUUAUGGUGGGCACUCUAAGGAGACUGCCGGUGACAAACCGGAGGAAGGUGGGGAUGACGUCAAGUCAUCAUGGCCCUUACGGCCUGGGCUACACACGUGCUACAAUGGUCGGUACAAAGGGUUGCCAAGCCGCGAGGUGGAGCUAAUCCCAUAAAACCGAUCGUAGUCCGGAUCGCAGUCUGCAACUCGACUGCGUGAAGUCGGAAUCGCUAGUAAUCGUGAAUCAGAAUGUCACGGUGAAUACGUUCCCGGGCCUU
rnacentral:rRNA from 1 species